rnacentral:rRNA from 1 species
UACGAAGGGUGCAAGCGUUAAUCGGAAUUACUGGGCGUAAAGGGUGCGUAGGCGGUUCGUUAAGUCUGUCGUGAAAUCCCCGGGCUCAACCUGGGAAUGGCGUUGGAUACUGGCGAGCUAGAGUGUGUCAGAGGAUGGUGGAAUUCCCGGUGUAGCGGUGAAAUGCGUAGAGAUCGGGAGGAACAUCAGUGGCGAAGGCGGCCAUCUGGGACAACACUGACGCUGAAGCACGAAAGCGUGGGGAGCAAACAGG